GAGGUGGAGUCUGGAUUCUCGGCGUUGCUUGGGCAUUUGGAGGAAUGAUCUACGGUAUUGUUUACUAUACUGCUGGAAUUUCAGGCCUUAGGACACAGACAUUGUAUUAAAGUAGCCCUACAAGAGGCGUUAUGGCUAAGUAGUUCAGUGAGUUUCAAACUUUUUCAGCUCUAUAUAAACUCAUCUUCUUUAAUGAAGUGUAAAGAGUAAGUGAACAAGUGCGUUACUUACAGGAUUUGGAGGAAAAAUGGCACCCAUCACCACCAUCUUGUCUUUUCUCUUCUCUUCUCUGUCCUUUUUAUCUGAUCCUUGGCCUGAAGCAUUCUAUGGUCACCCUCUUGAUAACUCGGCGCAGUUGUUGCUCCUCGGGUAUGCUACUUUCCACACACAGCCUGCAGUCGUGUUAUAAUUUGCAUUGACAAGAUUGUCUGCGAAUCAAACUGUUCGUCUUCUUCAAAGUUUGCAGCAAGAUCUGCUCAAGUUCAGUCUGCAAUCUGCAUGACAUCUUUAACCUUUUCUGUUGAAGAUGAAGACUGUUGCAGAUAUGUAAUAGUAUUUUCAUAGAUUUCUUCUGUUAAGAAUUUGUGACGAAAAACUUUCAACUGCAAUGGUGAUUGAUGUACUGAAGUUCAAAACCUAGUUAAAAAAACAAAAAUCAUUUGCUCCCCCAGAAUUGGACCAUGUUACCAAAACUUCCAACAUUAGAGAUGCAAGGAUUGUAAUGUAAAUAUAAUCAGCUCAAACAUUUAGAGUUCUAUUUUUAUGAUAUAGUCCGUUUUUCCUGG